UUAUUGUCUGCUCGCUGCGGCAAAAUCCGCAGUCGGGCUUAGGAACCCGGUAA
rnacentral:ncRNA from 1 species